rnacentral:rRNA from 1 species
GAUGAACGCUGGCGGCGUGCCUAAUACAUGCAAGUCGAGCGAACGGACGAGAAGCUUGCUUCUCUGAUGUUAGCGGCGGACGGGUGAGUACCACGUGGCUACCCUACCUAUAAGACUGGGAUAACUUCGGGAAACCGGAGCUAAUAUCGGAUCAUAUUUUGAACCGCAUGGUUCAACAGUGAUAGACGUUCUUGCUGUCCCUUAUAGAUGGAUCCGCGGUGCAUUAGCUAGUUGGUACGGUAACGGCUUACCAAGGCAACGAUGCAUAGCCGACCUGAGAGGGUUAACGGGCAAACUGGAACUGAGACAAGGUCCAGACUCCUAAGGGAGGCAGCAGUAGGGAAACUUCCGAAAAGGGCGAAAGCCUGACGGAGCAACGGCGCGUGAGUGAUGAAGGGCUUCGGAUCGUAAAACUCUGUUAUUAGGGAAGAACAGAUGGGUAAGUAACUGUGCACAGCUUGACGGUACCUAAUCAGAAAGCCACGGCUAACUACGUG